rnacentral:sRNA from 1 species
AGAAAAAAAGAAGCAAAAAU